UUCCUACGGGAGGCAGCAGUGGGGAAUUUUGGACAAUGGGCGAAAGCCUGAUCCAGCAAUGCCGCGUGCAGGAUGAAGGCCCUCGGGUUGUAAACUGCUUUUGUACGGAACGAAAAGCCUGGGGCUAAUACCCCCGGGUCAUGACGGUACCGUAAGAAUAAGCACCGGCUAACUACGUGCCAGCAGCCGCGGUAAUACGUAGGGUGCAAGCGUUAAUCGGAAUUACUGGGCGUAAAGCGUGCGCAGGCGGUUUUGUAAGACAGUGGUGAAAUCCCCGGGCUCAACCUGGGAACUGCCAUUGUGACUGCGAAGCUAGAGUGCGGCAGAGGGGGAUGGAAUUCCGCGUGUAGCAGUGAAAUGCGUAGAUAUGCGGAGGAACACCGAUGGCGAAGGCAAUCCCCUGGGCCUGCACUGACGCUCAUGCACGAAAGCGUGGGGAGCAAACAGGAUUAGAUACCCUGGUAGUCCACGCCCUAAACGAUGUCAACUGGUUGUUGGGUCUUAACUGACUCAGUAACGAAGCUAACGCGUGAAGUUGACCGCCUGGGGAGUACGGCCGCAAGGUUGAAACUCAAAUGAAUUGACGG
rnacentral:rRNA from 1 species